ensembl:lncRNA
AUGGAGGAGGCUAAAAGCUGGCGGAAGCUCAGUGAUGGUGGAGGCCCAGGAAUGUUGCAGCUUCAGAUGGGGUGGAGGCUCAGACAAAGUGGCAGAAGCCCAGGAUGGCGGAGGCUCAGAGUCGGUGGAGGCUCAGAAAUGGUUGAGGCCCAGGAUGGUGGAGGCUCAGAGUUGGUGGAGGCUCAGAAAUGGUUGAGGUCCAGUGAUGGCAGAGAUUCAGCAAUGGAGGAGGCUAAAAGCUGGCGGAAGCUCAGUGAUGGUGGAGGCCCAGGAAUGUUGCAGCUUCAGAUGGGGUGGAGGCUCAGACAAAGUGGCAGAAGCCUAGGAUGGCGGAGGCUCAGAGUCGGUGGAGGCUCAGAAAUGGUUGAGGCCCAGGAUGGUGGACGCUCAGAAAUGGUUGAUGGUGGAGGCCCAGGAAUGUUGCAGCUUCAGAUGGGGUGGAGGCUCAGACAAAGUGGCAGAAGCCCAGGAUGGCGGAGGCUCAGAGUCGGUGGAGGCUCAGAAAUGGUUGAGGCCCAGGAUGGUGGAGGCUCAGAGUUGGUGGAGGCUCAGAAAUGGUUGAGGUCCAGUGAUGGCAGAGAUUCAGCAAUGGAGGAGGCUAAAAGCUGGCGGAAGCUCAGUGAUGGUGGAGGCCCAGGAAUGUUGCAGCUUCAGAUGGGGUGGAGGCUCAGACAAAGUGGUAGACGCCCAGGAUGGCGAAGGCUCAGAGUCGGUGGAGGCUCAGAAAUGGUUGAGGCCCAGGAUGUUGGACGCUCAGAAAUGGUUGAUGGCCAGGAUGGUGGAGGCUCAGAGUUGGUGGAGGAUCAAAAAUGGUUGAGGCCCAGGAUGGUGGAGGCUCAGAGUUGGUGGAGCCUCAGAAAUGGUGGAGGAGCAGGAUGGUGGGGCCUCAGAGUUGGUGGAGGCUCAGAAAUGGUGGAAGCCCAGUGAUCGUGGAGUCUCACAGUUGGUGGAGCCUCAGAAAUGGCGGAGGACCAGGAUGGUGGAGCCUCAGAGUUGAUGGAGCCUCAGAAAUGCUGGAGGACCAGGAUGGUGGGGCCUCAGAGUUGAUGGAGCCUCAGAAAGGAGGACCAGAGAUGUUAUGAGCUGAGCGAUGGCGUAGGCUCAGCCAUGGAGGAGCCGGCGAGAUGUUCUAGACCAUGGAGGAGGUUUCUGCAGGGACGAGCCGUGGAGACGGAGGAGGUUGCGAUGGUGCUGCAUAGACGAGGACAUGCAGGAGCCAGGGACGGAGAUGGUACCAACGGACCUCUGCUCUCCUUCGUGGUCCCUGUGAAUCGCGCCAAGGGGCGUCUGCUGCGUCUCCCGGGUGAUGUAGCCCCGCCCAGUCCUUGGCCGAGGGGGCUCCGCCCACACUCCCCGUUGGGAAGCGUGGGCGGGCCACUCUCAGCCAAGGAGGGCCCAGAUGUUCCCGGGGGGCCUGGUCCAGACGCAGCAGACUCCCGUCGGAGCGAUCCACGGGGCCACGAAGAAGGGCAGAGGUCCGCCGCCGCCCCGACGCCUACACGCCCCCGUCUGCCUCCUCCAGGUCUUCCAGGAUCACCUCCGGAGAGGGACGCAGGCUGGCCAGGCCGCUCCCCCUCCUUUGGAAGAUCCUGGGCUCCACCGGCUCCACCUGCCCGCCUUCCUCCAGGUCCUCCAGGAUCACGUCCAGAGGAGGACGCAGGCUGGCCAGGCCGCUCCUCCUCCUUUCGUGGAUCCUGGGCUCCGCCGGCUCCUCCAGGUCCUCCACGAUGACUUCCUCCUCCUUCUCCUCCUCCUCUUCCUCCUCCUCUUCCUCCUCCUUCUCCUCCUUUUCUUCAAUGGUGGCCAAACAGGGACACUUGCUGUUGAGGUGGCCCCAUUUUUUUGCCUUCCGUCUUGCGAAGGCCUCCCUCCGGCUCUCCUCUUGUAUCUUCUCUGCAAGCCUCCUGUUGACACAGCUGAGGACGCAGCUCUUUACUUGCCUCCACAGGAUCCUCCACUUGGAGGGUGGACCAGCCACCCCCCUUCCUCUGUCCUCUCCAGACACACGUCUGGACCGGCGCAGGCAAGCCAGCCACCGUGGCAUGAUGUCUGAAAAGAAGGAGAAGAGCAGGGUUAGCAGAGGGGCCAAGGAGGCUUCCCUUCCUGCUAGAAGACUUUUAUUACAUUCUAUGGAGUGAAACCAUCCCACUCAAGACUUCCUCUGGGACCUUUGUUGUUGUUGAUUCGUUCAGUCGCUUCCGACUCCUCGUGACCUCCUGGACCAGCCCAGGCCAGAGCUCCCCGUCGGAGGUCGGGGCCGCCCGCAGCUCCUUCAAGGUGGAGUCAGUCCCUUCAAGGAUCCCGUCCAUCCACUUUGCCCUUGGUCGGCUCCUCUUCCUUUUUCCUUCCUUUUUCCCCAGCAUCAUUCUCUUCUCCAAGCUUUCCUGUCUCCUCACGAUGUGGCCAAAGGACUUCAUCUUUGCCUCUCAUAUCCUUCCCUCCAGGGAGCAGCCACUGGGCUUUCUUUCCUGGAGGAUGGACUGGGUGGACCUUCUGGCCAAGGUCCAAGGCACGCUCAGCAUUGUCCUCCAACUCCACCGUUCAAAGGCGUCUCUCUUCCCUCGCUCAGCGCUCCUCAGGGUCCAGCUCUCUUUCGCAUCCAUAGGUUACUACGGGGAAUUCCACUGCUGUCACUAUGCGAUCCUUCAUUGCCCGUGAGAUCUCUCUGCUCUUCACUAUUUCAUCAUUGAGGUUGGUCCUUGCUCUCCUCCCAAGAAGGAAACGUCUUCUGAUUUCCUGGCUGCAGUCUGCGUCUGCAAUCAUCUUCGCACCUAGAAAUACAGCCUGUCACUGUCUCCAUGUUUUCUCCCUCUGUUUACCAGUUCUCAGUCAGUCUGGUUGCCGUCAUCUUGGUCUUCUUGAUGUUCAACUGCAGCCCGGCUUUUGCUCUGUCUUCUUUCUUCCACCUUGGUUAUGAUGCUCCUCAGCCCUCCUCGCUUUCAGCUUUCAUCAGAGUGGUAUCAUCUGCAUAUCUCAGGUUGUUCAUGUUUCUUCCGGCCAUUUUAACUCCAGCCUUGGAUUCCUCAAGCCCUGUCGCAUGACGUGUUCUGCGUACAAGUUGAAUCGGGAGGGUGAGAGGACGCAGCCCUGAUGUCCGCACUCCUUUCCCAAUCUGGAACCCGUCUCCUCUUCCGUGGUCUCUUCUGACUGUGGCUCCGAGCUGGCCUCGAACUCGUGACCUCUUGGUCAGAGUGAUUGGUCUCAGCUGGCUGCAGUUGGGUGCUCACCAGCUUGUGCCACAGCCCAGGCCUGUAUGAAACAGUGCGCAUUCUUGAGCAUUUCCCUUUUUUGGUAUGGGGUUAGAAGUUGAUUUUUUCCCAUCCUUGUGUUUCCAUAUUUGUUGGCAUAUGGCACGCAUCACCUUGACAGCAUCACCUUCCAAGAUUUUAAGCAGCUCAGCUGGGAUCCCGUCCUCUCCUGUUGCCUUGUUAUUAGCAAUGCUUCUUAAGGCCCAUUCAACCUCACUCCUCGGGAUGUCUGGUUCUAAUUCACUCACCACACCGUCAAAGCUAUCCUGGAUAUUAUUAUCCUUCCUAUACUGAUCUUCUGCAUAGUCUGGCCACCUUCUCUUGUUCUCUUCAGCUUCUGUUAGGUCCUUGUCAUCUUUGUUUCUGAUCAUGUCCAUUUUUGCCUGAAAUUUACCUCCGAUGGUUCUAACCCUGAGGAAGUGAAGCGUGGGGCAGAAUUCUUUUCAAACAUUUCAGGAGGUGGCGGGGAAAUGGAUUUUGGGGGAAGGGUCCGGAUGUGAUGGCAUUAUUUGCUCUCAGGAUUAAAAUGAGAUGUCUGUGGUGGAGGCAUGGGGCUUCUUGGUCUUGCGGCUCUUCCGAUGUCUGUGGUGGAGUCUGUUGUGGUUUGUAAAGACAUUAUGAAGUAUGCGAGGUGGUCCAGGCGCUUGUUGAGUUCUUCUUCUCCAUGACUCCCAAUGGUGAAUGGGAUGUAUGGGUGGAUGCUCUUGAGGUGGUCCAGCGCUUGUUGAGUUCUUCUUCUCCAUGGCUCCCAAUGGUGAAUGGGAUGAAUGGGUGGAUGCUCUUGAGGUGGUCCAAGCACUUGUUGAGUUCUUCUUCUCCAUGGCUCCCCAAUGGUGAAUGAGAUGUUUGGGUGGAUGCUCUUGAGGUGGUCCAGGCGCUUUGUCGAGUUCCUCCUUCUCCCUUGGCUCCCAAAUGAAAAAUGGGAUGUAUGGAUAGAAGGUUGUUUGAAG